AGGCUGAAGACCUUACCCGAUUAGCUGAGAGGUGGUGCAUGGCCGUCGUCAGUUCGUACUGUGAAGCAUCCUGUUAAGUCAGGCAACGAGCGAGACCCACGUCCACAGUUGCCAGCAUACCCUCCGGGGUGAUGGGUACACUGUGGAGACCGCCGCUGCUAAAGCGGAGGAAGGAGUGGGCAACGGUAGGUCAGUAUGCCCCGAAUCUCCCGGGCUACACGCGGGCUACAAUGGUUGGUGCAAUGGGCAUCUACCCCGAAAGGGGAAGGAAAUCUCUUAAAGCCAAUCGUAGUUCGGAUUGAGGGCUGCAACUCGCCCUCAUGAAGCUGGAAUCCGUAGUAAUCGCGUUUCAACAGAACGCGGUGAAUACGUCCCUGCUCCUU
rnacentral:rRNA from 1 species